ACGGCUCGUUGGUCAAGAGGUUAAGACACCGCCCUUUCACGGCGGUAACUUGAUCCCCAGUUCGAAUCUGGGUGUCGCC
rnacentral:tRNA from 1 species